CAAGGACAGAGCUAGCCCUUACUGUACAAACAGCUCUGACAGGAAUCCACACUUGAGCCUCCUGUUUUUCCAUCCUGAGUGUUGAUUAAGAAGUGACAGGGCACAAACAAAUGGACAGAAAACAAACCGUGAAGGUUGCCAACAGUUUACAGAGCUUGGCCCAGGUGCGCUCCUGCUGCAUACACAAAAAUGCCCACAAGGAAAAGGGAGAGAAAGGGCAUAAAUGCAGAGGAGACAUGCAGUGACAUGGAGACUGCAUGCUCAGCCUGGCCUCGUUGAAGGAGUGCCUUGUAUUGCACUGAGACACAGCACCUGCACUGCAAGAGCAGCACUGAUGCAACUCACAGUCUGCCAGCACGUCAGCUGAAAAAGAGCUCUGCAGAAGUGGGAUCAUGUGAAAUUAAUACUUCCAAACAAAAAUGCAACAAUACCAACAUCCCAGUUCUGAAGAUAAGUUCAUUCAACACCAAAUCAAAGCCUGGAAGUAGCAGCAAGCUAACUAGCUGUGUACAGAAGCCCUGCAAAAACGCAUCCAUCCAUCUUGUUGACAGAAGGGGCUCACACACACAAACUGCUUCCGCAUGAGAAUGGGAAGACAGCACAUGUUGCUCUGUACAACAGCAUACAGGGACCAGAAAUUGAUGGCAUGCAGCUGUGGGGGCAAAAUCUCUUCUCAGCCUGCCCAUGGAGACUUGAAAGGCUGACAGAGGAAAACUUCAUUUAAGCAGUGAUAUCAAAGACAUGUGGGCAAAUAAAAUACAGCAGUGUCUCUGCAAAUAACACAUAAAAUUACCAAUUAUUAUGUAUGAAAAACUAGUCUAGAAAAAGAAACGUAGCUUCAACUCUUUCA
ensembl:lncRNA